CGGGGCGCAGACAGGCGUGGGGCGCGGCCCCGGGCGGCCACCGAGGAGGGGCACUGGCCUCCAGAGCCUGUGGCCAAGGCGGGCCCGCGGGCGGUGACGGAGCAGGGAUCGGCGCCUCUGUGCUCGGACUGGAGACCAGGUCUCUAGGGCGGCGACGUGUGUGCCAGCCCCCGAAGGCCGGGCGCCAGACGGUGCUCAGAGCGAUAAGACAUGGUCCGGUGUGACGAGGAGGACAGCAAAGCCGUCCGGCCUUCCUUGACAUCUCGGCUGGACCCGUGGGAGCAGAGCGCCCGCCAGGUCUCUGUCCCUCCGCUUUCCGGAAGGAGCCGACAUAACCGCUGCUCUCUGGACCUCUAGAACCCUCGACAUGACAAGAAAUGGUGCUACCCAGCUCAUGCCUGGGCCUUGGACCCCGGACUUCUUCAAGUCCUUCUAGCUCUGACGCAAGAAUAUGCUGCACCCGGAACCACUACACCACUCGACUCAGGAAUCGGCUCUGGAAGGUUAAGCCAAAGGACCGAGAUCGGCGACCAGCACCACCGGAAGCGAGCCGCUCCCACGGCCACACCGCCCGAGCGACCACACCAGCGUCAGCCGCCCCAGCCAGCGCCGAGACGCCGCCAGCGCGCCCCCAUCACCAUCGCAUUCCCUCCUCCCCUCCUUCUUUUCGGACUUUUCUCUGCUUUUUCACUUCUUUCCUUUCUCUUCUGUCCUUUGCUCAGCAGGCUCAGGCCCCCGGGACCCCGUGUCCCCACACCCCCCGAUUCAAUUUGCACUAUAAGUCGUUUGCACUGGUUGGGGUCCCGGCCCCGGCCCUGAGCCCCUGGGCGUGUGUGUGAGCAACUGCUGAGUGUGCCCGGCCCCCUAUGGCCGGUGCCGCCCCCGCGACCCCCCACCCGUCCACUGGGGGUAACCGGGUGCGGCAGCGUGUGGGGCCCUGCCCCCCCCUCGCCUAGUCUGGAAGCUCCGAACACCUGGAGCCACCCCAAGCAUCCAUUGUGCAUCUCGCCUGGGUCCCUCCUCACCAGGGCUUCACCAGAAGUCCUGGACUCAUCA